rnacentral:lncRNA from 1 species
GUCACUUUUUCUCCCAGUCGCAGGGUUUUCACGUGCCAAUGGGAGUUUGGAAUAAAGUCUUUCUAAAGACUCCUUGUAGAGCUGACAUCUUAUUACUUUGCUUUGGUAUGUUUUUAUUUUUAAGGUUUUUGUUUUGUUUUUUGAGUCAAGAUCUUAUACUUCAGACUAUAUACUUCAGGCUGGCCUUCAACUCACCAUAUAUAUAUAUGGUAAAUACAACACAACUUUGAAGCACUCAUCAUGAGGAUGGAGUGAUAAGAAAAGUAAAGAAACAGCUGCAAUAAAAAGCAAUGUCAAAUAAGCCCCAAAGAGAGGAAGGAACAGACUGCCAGAAUUUUUGUGAUGAGAAGAUGUGAUCAAGAGACAUCAGUCCAGGAUCUAAACCAUGGUGGAAAUGAAGAGCAGAACAUAGUGACACAUGCUGGCCUUGUCCUGAAACCUGAUGUCCACUACUCCCACUGCUCUGAAAGAGAGAAGAUUUAAAGUCACCUUUGAUGCUCCAAGAGUAGAUCAUAGGUAUCCCAGGCCUCUGCAGGGCCUGGAAGUAGCUUGUCCUACCCUUAGAGAGCUUUUCUAACUGACUUUUUCUGACAGUGAUUUGUCAGAUGUGUAGUGAAUUCUGCAAGUCCGGGCCCCAAAGAAGUAAAAGAGUAAUUGAAGUGGAUUAACUGAUGGUCAACUUGUAACGCCCAGCUGAACUGAAUCAGCAUGGUCUGGGCGUGGAAGAUCCAUCUGAGGAUUGUUGUCAACAGCCACAAAAAGAGAACUGGAGGGAAAGAUCAUGGGUGUUGACUUUCUAGGAGAAGCCUGCUGUGAUUUUUCUGACACCAACUAGGCUGUUCAUGUCAGAGGAGGAAGUUGGGGACUUGCUGUCCCUGGGAAUGGCUGCUGUUUUUGUCAGGGGAGCUCUGAUCUUCACCGUGAGCGUC